rnacentral:rRNA from 1 species
UGGGGAAUUUUGGACAAUGGGCGAAAGCCUGAUCCAGCAAUGCCGCGUGUGUGAAGAAGGCCUUCGGGUUGUAAAGCACUUUUGUCCGGAAAGAAAUCCUCUGGGUUAAUACCUCGGGGGGAUGACGGUACCGGAAGAAUAAGCACCGGCUAACUACGUGCCAGCAGCCGCGGUAAUACGUAGGGUGCAAGCGUUAAUCGGAAUUACUGGGCGUAAAGCGUGCGCAGGCGGUUUUGUAAGACGGAUGUGAAAUCCCCGGGCUUAACCUGGGAACUGCAUUCGUGACUGCAAGGCUAGAGUAUGGCAGAGGGGGGUUAGAAUUCCACGUGUGAGCAGUGAAAUGCGUAGAGAUGUGGAGGAAUACCGAUGGCGAAGGCAGCCCCCUGGGCCAAUACUGACGCUCAUGCACGAAAGCGUGGGGAGCAAACAGGAUUCAGAUACCCUGGUAGUCCACGCCCUAAA